UACGUAGGGGGCAAGCGUUGUCCGGAAUCAUUGGGCGUAAAGAGCGUGUAGGCGGCUCGAUAAGUCCGCUGUGAAAGUCCAGGGCUCAACCCUGGAAGGCCGGUGGAAACUGUCGAGCUAGAGUCCGGAAGAGGCGAGUGGAAUUCCCUGUGUAGCGGUGAAAUGCGUAGAGAUGGGGGAGAACACUCGUGGCGAAGGCGGCCAGCUAGACCAGUUCUGACACUGAGGCGCGACAGCGUGGGGAGCAAACAGG
rnacentral:rRNA from 1 species